CAUAGAUAAUAACAGCAUCACCUAGACCCUCCUUAUACACUCACUCAUACAAUAUUAACGGCUGUAAGUUUAUUAUUGACGGGAUGUUGGAAUGAAAUCAGGGUUCUGAUGGCUGAGGUGCAGGACAGAACACAGAUGAUCAUUUGCUGCUAUAAGAACCGUGUUCAUCUGUGGUAGUUUAAUGUGUUACUGGGCUGGUUGUAGCAAUAUCAGUAAAGAAAGCAGUAAAACACAAUAGCAAGUGUGCAGGACUACAAGCCUGUAGGACUAUUGAGGGAGAGUCACACUACACCACAAUCCUUCACCAGCACCCAUAUAUGAACCCAGCUGAGGUGCUUUGCUAGCUGCAUGAGACUGCUGGAAAUAUUAACCUGUCAGACCAUCAGACCAGAACCACAGGAAGCUCCAGCACAUCGUACACUGUGUUGUAAAUGACAGUAGAUGAGAGGAGACUAGCAGACCAGCACCAGCGCAUCAUGUGUCACACAGCUGUACAUCAACUUCUGGUGCUAAAAUAUCCUCACCAGUGCAGUCCAACAACCACAGAAGAUCCCUGUCCAUGAUAUUCAAGAUCAACCUGAAGAGACUCCACAGAUCUUCAGUCACAUCAACUGUAGUCUGUUUAAU